GAAUAGCUCAGUUGGUAGAGUCCCGGAUUGUGAUUCCGGUUGUCGUGGGUUCGAGUCCCAUUU
rnacentral:tRNA from 1 species